UGGGCUAUAGCCAAGCGGUGAGCAACGGACUUUGACUCUCGUCACUCGCUGGUUGAAUCCAGCUAGCCCAACCA
rnacentral:tRNA from 1 species